CAGUUGAUUUCCUCUCCUAUUGGCCGAGUAAUUCAUAGUGUGUGUAUGUGUCAAUUGAGCAAGUCCCUUCUUCGUAGUCGUUGGGAGAAAGAUCUCCACGGUAAGAUGAGAUAGAAGAUUUUCGUAAGUUAUAUCCGGGGGGUCCACUAGUAUAGUUUUGGAAAGCAGGUUUAGGAAAGGCAGUUCUUAGUAAUCAAAGUAACGAAAGUCAUCUUUUUCUUGUAUUCUUAUCUCGUGGUGUAUCUUUAAAGCCUGGCCAAGUAACGGAUAGACGCCAAGGCACUUGUGCCGCGGCAGUGUUGUUUUUGCUACUAACGACCGAGUUUCACCCCUGAGCGCUAAUCCAUCAAGAUCGUAGCUAAGAGAGAUGCUCCCCGGCUAUCCACUUCUCAUAGUAAUAAAGCUCGGUCGGACUGAGACUGAGGGACAUCGAGUUGCCUAAAGGCUGCGUGCCCUCCUCGACUGCGAGACCUACGAUCAGAAAUAAUAUAAGGUUACUAAAUGCUGGAAGUUCCCUUCUUUCAUAACCGGGGGCUGCCAACUCCGCUUAGCCUUUUCACUCAGUUGCCAUUAGUUUAGAUGAAGCUACUUCGGAAUUCAAUCGAAUGGGAACCCUCCCCUAAACAGUUUCUAUGGCUCCUCUCUUCGAGUAGCAUUGACCUUUUCUCGCUAAUAAAUGAGAUAAGGUUCUUUUUCUUAGAUAAGGUUCUUUGGAAAUCAUACAGUCUAUUCGUUCUCUCUUCCUCUUACCUAACUCCCCGAGGGUCGAGUUGCUUUCUUUCUGCUCCAAAGCUUCCUUUCAAUAGGAAAGAGAUAGGAAGACGACGACUCCUAGGACCUAGUAGUUCAAAGGUAUUCUAUACAAGUUUGAAAAUGACCCUGGCACAUCUUCUUUCCUAAAUCAAAUCAAAAGAACUGUUUUCUGGGCCCGUAACAAUGACAAGUAGUCGUGAGUAGUAUGCUUUUAGUUAAUAAAAGAGAAUAAAGGGCUCCUCUGUCUAAUCCCGUAUCUGAUUCAAUGGGAGCUCCUCUUCCUAUUCAAAAGAGAAUAAAGGGUUCCUCUGUCUAAUCCCGUAUCUGAUUCAAUGGGAGCUCCUCUUCCUAUUCUAUCUAAGUCCGAUGAUUCUCCUCAGCUCCUGGUCAUCUCAUUGGUGGGUAGUCUAACCGGUUAAGAGAGGUUGGACUCUUCGCAAAUGCUCAAAGAAGGCAGGCCGGGGGCCAAGCAACUGGACAAGUCACUACUAGACAAGAAAGCCAGUACUCUCUUGAUCUUCGGCCUCACUGAACCUUCUCAAAGACUCCUUUUGCACUGAGACUCCGCACUCUAUGGGUCAAAUAGCACUAGACAUCUUUUUCACUAUCACCGGCACCGGGACGAGACUCGGGUGGGUAUAAUGAAUUCUACUUAAUUCGAGUUGACUUUACAAGCACAGCUCAUUCAGGAGUAUAGUUCACUUUACAAGCACAGCUCAUUCAGGAGUAUAGUUCACUUUACAAGCACAGCUCAUUCUUGAGUCGACAACACUUGAAACCAUACUUAUACUAUAAGUAGUUACAGCCUUAUACACAAGCACUCGCGAACCGCUAACAAGAGCUUAAGAGGGAUAUUCUGCCACGACCUCUAUUUGCAUAACCUAUUCUUCAAAACAGCCGAGACACAGAGAAGGAAUCAGGCUAUACUGCUCAUAAACCCCUAAAAAAGCACUCAUUAGAAAGGGGAAUUCCGCAGAUAGGUAAUAAUGAGCUCCAAUAUAUGAGCUUACUAACUCUUUGUUGCACUACUAAGGAACUGAAAGAAAGGCCUCCUAGACCACUGAAGGAGCAGUAGACGCGGGAGAACCUCUCGUAGCGUAGCCAGUGAUCUCAUGCCCACGUAGCGAUUCAGUCUCAAGUGAGCAGCAAUGAAGUGAAUCCUUAGCUACUUGGAUCCGUUUGUCGACAAGAUCAUAGGUUGGUGCUUAGCUUGCUCCUGCGCUACAAUAUUGGACUGUUUGAUUCGGUGCUUAGGGAGUUGACCUGGCAGCGAUAGAUUCCAUUGAUGUUUGAGUUGAUUUGCCAGUUCACCUUUUGAAUUGAAGAAUAUACAUUCAUAUAGAUAGGUUCAUAUAGAAUGAAGUAAGAGGAGAGUAGACUCCAAAUGAAAGGGAAGCUGCAAGCGAAGCGGGAACGGGAAGGAAAGUGGAGUCUCGUAUGGAAACAGUCAAUAUUGACUCAGUGGCUAAAGGGAUAGUUAAGGGAUGCUGUGUUGAGUAUAGAUUAUGGUAAGAUUACAAACUUAUACACAUACUACGUGAAGCGGUUAAUAAGAAAUGACAUUCUUUCACUAGAAUAGGAGAAUAAGAAGGAUCAAAAAGGCAGGGAAAGCUUUGUCAAGAACAGAAUCAGCAGCAACCACUAAGUCAGCAGCAAUCCAUUCUUCAAGUGUUUGUCGAAAGCCCUUGUGCGCCGAGUAAAUAAUCGGAAAUCCUGGAUUUUGAUUCAUAUCAAAUAUACUAUUAACAGUUAUACCUAAACUCUUUAUAGUAGUUUCCUUAUAGAUUUUCUCUCUUACUUACUAAGAUAGUCGCCGGAGGAAUUGAAUGCUAUAGAUCGUACCCUCUUCCUCUUGCUAUAGACCAAUACUGACUUCAUACUUAUAGAUCGCUAGAUCAUACCUUAUACUUACACGGAUAUUCUGACUUGUCUUAUUUCUUGGAAUGCGCGUAGAGGCGAGGUAAAGUACUUGCUUUUAUGCCCUAUUAGUGGAAUCACGUAUAGAAAGAAGUCAUUACUGAAGAAGAGGUUCAGAUAUUCUGGUUUAGGCGGCCAUCAAGAUGUUAGGAAGAAAAGAAUGAGAAGCGCCAUGAGGCGUAUUCAAUGAAGGAUUGUGCGGGCAAGUGAAAGAAGUUAUCCUCUCUCUACCCUAGCUUUUGUUGGUAACUCCACUUAUAGUACUGCUGUAGCUCUAAGUAAGCCAGACCUUAUCCUGAGUCCCUAGUUGCAUCUGUGUUUGCUACUCUUGAAGCGGAGGUGAAGUUGUCAGCGGAGGAAACUGACUGUGCAGGCUUCGUCGCCACCGGGUAGUCAACUCUAGUAGUGAGUGACUGGAUCGAUCUCUUUUGCCUCUAGUGAAUGACUGGAUCGAUCUCUUUUGCCUCUAGUGAGUGACUGGAUCUAUCUCUGUCUUUUGCCUCUGAUACUGAUCUCAGGUAAGCCAACUACUGAUCUCUGGUAAGCCAACUACUCUAAGUAUAUAGUCAUUGAUUGAAUUGACAUCUGGAUCUGGCUCUUUUCACUCAUUAGUUCUGCUCUCGGUAACAACCAGAAUAGCCUGUUCUUGUUGGAAUCCGUUCUCCUAUAAGAAGAGAAAGAAUCGGUGCUAUAUCUUCUUUGACUUUCUGGGCGAGAAGGAGUAAUGUUUUAGCUUACUUUAUGAUCGAAGCAAUAAGAUAGGGAGUCUUGCAUAGCAGGCCGGUCAUUAUAUAGGUCAUUGACUUUCCCGAGUGUAUGAGUUAGGGUUGCGUGCUUGGAAUUGAACCUUAGUGUGGCGUAGAGAGAAUCAGUGGUAACAGUUCCAAAGUAAGCGAUAAGUGUAGUUCGAACAUAAGAUGGAGCUGGUGAGGAAGCUGUGCUUGCCUACAGUUGCACCACUUACUAAAAGUCAGUCAGUAAGUAUUACCCAUAUUCCGCAUUUAGUAUAUAACACAUAUUACCAAUCUUCUGCAAUUAGGCUUAGGAGACCUAUGACCCAUACUCAUUGCCAACACUGGAACGUACCUUUGAACACCCCUUGUUGUUUCUGAAAUUGGUUAUAGCUUGUUGGUGGGUUCAGUUACCAAUGCUUUAGUGUCAUUAUUAGUCAUAGUGGUUUCAUUCUUUCUUUGAUGCACUGAAUUGCCUUACUGAGUUAGGGGAAAUACCAUUGAAUCUUUGAGAACAAGAGUUUCCUCUUUUCGAACAAUAGUAAUAGGAGCGGAGAAGUCAACUAAUUCGGAUUUCUUACUACCCAAGGUGUUAGUAGCAGUUAGGGAGUGUAGAAUUCCCUGGAAAGCCGGGUUCUCAGUCAACAACUAUUAGUAAACAAAUACAUAUGAAACAGGCAAGGAAGCACUAACUGAGUGAAAAGAGGCUGCCCUUUCUUUUUGACUAUGAAUUGGAAGAAGAAUAAUUGGAAGAAGAAAGUCAGCGCGGAGGGAAUCUAUUCUUCAAGUAGAUUGAAUCUGUAGAGUCAAUUCUUACUUAUUUCAAAGAAGAAGGAUAAGUUGAAAGAUCCGUUUCAUAAUAGAGUACUGGGUUGGAUGCCCUAACACGAGUUUCGGUUGAGAAGGACUCAAAAGCACUCAAUACACUUCCAGAAAGAUGGUAUUCCAGAAAGUAAGGUAUUCCAGCCUAAAACUAUCAAUAUGGGUUUACUGUUAUCAAUAUGGGUUGUGGUAGUAUAAUAGGGCCCAACUGAUGGAGUUGUAAGAGUGUUGUCUCGGUAUCUAGAAUCUUAAAUAAGGAGUUUCGGUCGGGGCAGACAAUAAGAAUCCAAUGGGAUGCAGAAAGCACUGGCAAGGAAGCUCCCGUUAGCACAAGGGCACAAGGGAGAUGAAAUGGAAAUGAAUGAGUUGCACCCGGCGUACCGGAGAGUGAAAACAGUUAAGAUUAAUGGCAAAAAUGCUUAAGAAGUACCAUUUCUUUGUUUAAAUAAAGGAGAUAUAGAUUUCCCCAUAAGAGUAGAAAAGAGCUGCCCUACCGCCAUGAACAAAGGAACAAAAUACAAGUAAAAAAGGGAACUCGUGAUUCCUAGGUCCACUUCAUAUGAGAUAGGUGCAUCUUCAUAGCUUCAAUCUUUGACUGGAAGUAAGCUGGCUGCUUAUUGGCCACGCCUCCUUGCUUAUAUAUAUAUGACUUUACUCGGCCCAAGAUAAUAAGAUCUCCUACUUAUAUAUAUAAUAUAUAGCUCCAUACUAUUCUACCUUGCCAGCUGUUCCAUUCAAUGCAAGACUUAGUGCUUGCUAUGGGUAAGGUAGUUUCUUAGAGUUUACAGAACAAGCAGGUCUGGAAAGGGAAGCUACGUAUUCAAGGUAAGUUACAGAAGUAGAAUAGAAUGCCUUGACCCCAUUGCGCUUAAGACUAAAGUAGGUUCAGCAAUCAUAUUCUGCACUAAAAGUUGAUAGCUUAAAGUAGUCUUUUUCAGGUCGACAAGCCUUAGCCUACUGUUUUCCUUCCUCUGCGCUAAGAUAAGUUGUUGUUUAAAGUAGAGUGAUCGUUGAAUCCGUGUUUGGAAGCUCAUCUCUUUUGCCCACUAAACUAUGCGGUUAAGCAGUGAAGUGUCCAUCUUUUUUCUUGUGUUGUCUCCGAUAUAAGCCGAAUGCAAGUAAUGGGAGCUUUGUUACUUACUGCUUUCUAUAGGUGGAACCAAAUCCUUAUUGGUUGUUACCUGAGAGCUAACAGUAUUGAGUUUAUCCCUGAGGAGCUAACAGUAUUGAGUUUAUACCCGAGAGUCCGUAGUGAGCGGUUAAGAAAAAGUGGAGUUCUUGUGUCAUUGUACGCGAGAUCAGAAGCAAGAGUAAGGAUCCGUUCAAUAAAAAAGUAAGAGCGCAAAGUCGACCAAAGAAUCAGCUCCGUUCUUGGGGUUUGACAUACAGCCUUUCAAGAGUGGUUACGGUAAGACCUCUGGCUUUCCUUUCACUGUAGCAUGAUCCGACUCUGUUAUGGCAAGUGAAAGCGUAAGCAGCAAAUACCUUCUGUGAUUUCUACUAUAAGUGGUUAAUGAAACUUUAUUAAUUGCCAUAGGAUGAUUAUACCGAUAGCCAACUCCCCUUCUUCCCUUUUAUAUAUUUGAUCGAUUUAUUCUCGAACUAAGACUAACGCCUUUUAUAGACUUUCAAACUUCCCAAAAUGAACGAGAAAUCUAAAGUUAUUGAUUGAAAAACACUGAGAUGGAGAGGAAAGAGAAACAAUGUAAGAGAGAGAGAGAGAGAUAUACAAUAUCAGAAAACUCCACACCGCAAUCCAAGGUGCUUGAGGGUAAGGGGGGAACAACUAUCUAUGCGUCCCUUCUGCUUCUGUUAAAGAAUCGAUGCCUAUUGUCAUCAAUAGAAAAAUAUAGAGAAAGAGAAAGAGAAGUGAGCGCAUCAAAAGGAAAGAGAAAAAGCGUUAGCGAGGUUGUAGCCGAGUGUUGUCUACUCAAUUGGGUGGGCGCUUGUCUGCUUGUUGAGGAGUAGCUUGGCGAGUCAAUUGAUAAACGACUUAUCUGUCAACUCCCCUUAUAUAAGUACUCAGUACAGAGCAUUCCCCACUAAAUGAAUUCUGAUAUAAGUCUAUAAAUCUUUACUUACCAACUUACCACUGUUUUUCUUACGAUGACAACUCAGUACCUGGACUGCUAAUGACUAAGCUUAGGCGGCUGUAAGUAUAUUAAUAGGGCUUUCCCCUUGUAAUAGAGUUUAGGUCGGGUAUCUGAAAAGGUGUGAAAUCAGCUCUUAUUGUAAGUUCCCUUAUAGUAAGUGUGUUGGCUAAAGUCCUGUAGUGGUAAAGUUUCAUCAGUAGUAGUAAGAGGAGAGAGAGGCGAGGAAGCUAUAAGUAAAGAAGUGUGUUCGGGUGCUCGGAGACUUUACUGAUGGAUAAAGAGUACAGCUACGACUUCCCAGACUUCAACUUAUAUAAUAGCUAGAAUAGGAGCUUGUUACGAAAUAGCUAAACUUUAGUAUGAAUGCGCGGGGGAGCGAUGGUAGAAGAAAACCACAGCUUCUAAGGCGGAUAACUACAACUGGCAAGGAUCGAACUACUUAUAGAAAGAAUUGGACUCGUAAUACAGGAUAUAGGUACUGCUUCUCAUACCUUAACCACUAAUAUAGGAAACAACCGACUUAGUGGAAUAUAAGAAACAACCGACCUAUGGGAGACCGAUACUGCUCCUAGCAAGACCAAGAAACUGCCCUAACAAACAAGAGUAGAACUAGGGCUACCGAUACCUUAACUCAAAACUAAGGCUUCAAUGAUGUCCAACAACUCUUGCUUUACUCACUUACAAGCCCAUGUCUCUGCCUGUUAGUCUGCCUAUCCUGAUUUGAUUUCUAAGACCCCGGAGCCAGAUCCUCACUUGUUUGCUUUUAAACUAGCACCACUAGGAGCAAGAGCUAAACCCAUGCUAACAGGAAUCUACUCCUAUUCUGAUAGAUUGGAAACUUUACAAUGGACUAAAACUAGUGCUCCCAACAAUCAAACUCAAAACUAAGAAUACACCUACAGCAAACAAGACUUAUACCACUUACUAGUAAUUCCACUUAUAAUUUAGAAGACUUUACUGCACUAACGAAUUCAAAUAAUAAGAAAAAGCUAGUCAAAGGAAAAGUGAGAGACUUAAACACUAACUAAUGGAUUGAACUCGACAAGCAAAUACUAGGCCUUAUGCUCUUAUAAACUACUAGGCCCUAUGCUCUCAUCUUAGUCUUAUCUCUUCUAUACUGAUAUACAGAGCCAAGCCGGACUUAGUUAGCUUCAUCCUUACUAUACUGUAUCCAGCUCUGCCUUUACUGUCCCUUACACUUCUGUUACUUACCCGAGUCCCUACUCUCUAUUGUUUUAGUAUUCCUUUCCCGGCUAUAACUUUCACUUUGCAGUCUAGUAUCCUGGCUUUACAGCUUAUCUGCCUUACUAUGCUUACUUUUAUUCUACAAAACGACUAUCCCCGGGCCUCACUUUACUGCAUCUAAGGCUUUACUUAUAUUCCACAAAUAUCUCAUUCUUUGGCUCCUCGUUUUCAAGCUAAAACCAUUGCUUAUAAGCCUACCUUGAAAACUUGAUAUCUCUGCCUUUAAGUCUAGUGGUUUCUCAUUCCCCCAACCCCCUUGCUAUUGAGUUGAGAAGCCCCACUUUUUAGUUAGAGUAUGCCUAUCUUGCCUUUCACUCUUAGUUUACUGUCUUUUAUCCUUAGUAAAUGGGUGAGUAUGGUGUAUACUGAAGAACCGAACUACUGAUAACAAUAAUCGAUACCGGCUAUUAUUCUUUAACCGAUGCCUUCGAACCUUGCUUUUCAUUCUCUAGCUACUGAUUCGGAUCUCUGCUUUACUAGCCAGAAAACUAACACUCAGGCCCGUGAGCCUGUGACUACUAACAAUAAGACUGACUCCACUUCCUCUGAUACUUGAACUAGGAACUCGGACUUUGACUACUAUCAAAAGAACUUAACUCGGAACUCGGGCUUGCUUUUCCUACUUUCAUUCUAUCACUAAUUACCUCGAAGCUGACCUGAACGCCUCUGAGUCUCUCCCCGGGGCCCCGAGCUAUAACUCUUACAGUGUUAGCUUCUCCGGCCUGUCACUACUGAAUCUAAGGCUUAGCGCUAUACCUUUGAUUCUGACUACCCCGUUGCUAGCCUUGCUUCACCGCCUAUGAUCCUUACUUGAGACUUUCGACCUUGGACUCGUUCUUUCAACGCUUGUCCUGUAGCCUUACUUUCCCACCGGCGAGUGUUAACCCGGGCACCCAUUUCUUCUCAGUUCGACAUUCCUUACUUGCUUUCUUCAAUUGCGGAUUUAGAUCCUUGCUUGUUCGUUGAAGUAUUCCUAUCCUGGGUAUUGUUGUCUUAGAUAGCUAACUAUCUGACUAAUAGUGAUAUAGUAGUGAUAAGAGGAUGGCUUAUCCGGAAAUAGACUGAUACUUAUAAUAGUAAGUACCGGAAAUAGACUGAUAAUAGUAAGCAGAAGAGCUAAGUCACAGACCUAAACACAUAAGCAAGUAGGCCAACACACAAGACAGCCUCCCUUUAUUGACUCUCAAACGGAGAUUACUGCCUGCCUUGUCUUGCUUUCAACUCAUAACAAAACAAAGCACCUAGUUGCAGAAUCAAAGAAAGGUUUUAGUAAGAAAGAAUCAGAGCGAGGAAGGAAGAGGGAGACUCACUGGUAUGUGUGAAAAUAAAGGAUCUGGAUCGUUAGUUAAAGAAUAUAAGGGGAGCGAUAGGGAUUUGCAGUUAUAAAGAAUAAUUAUAGGUAGAGUUCUGAAAGAUCAGUUUGGAGGGUUAGUUCGUUAAGGUCAGUUGAGAGUGGCCGUUUAUGCCUACAACUAAAGAUGUUAGGUCAGUAGUUACAGAAAGAAAGACAGGAAUAGCAAUACUUUAGAUCGGGUUUGGUAGCCUUAGAAGAGCUUCAGUGUCAGUCUGAAUUCCGAGCCCUGCGCGUACUAGGUUGAGUUUGAUUCCCAAGUGCAAUGCUUCCUAUCAGUAGGUUUCUUCUUUUUCUCAUUAGUUCAAGUCAUUAGGCAGUGUUCGAUUCACUAUUUCUACAUUGAUUCUUUGUUUGACUCUUUUACUUGCUUUCGCCGAUCGAUCCUUUUGCUACCUAAUUAGAUUAUGCAAUCAAUGUCCUUAGUUCUAUUACUUUGUGGUUGGAUUCGAUGUAAACCUUGUUAGUAUCGGUUGAAGUCUCGGAAACAGUAGUUCCAGUAUUGCCAGCAGCGAUCCAAUUCUUAUAAGCAGCAGUGGCAGCCCUAUGCCUAUUAGCCCGGGAGCCUAUUCAAUCUUAUCUGGUAGGUAGUCAAUAGAGAAAGAGAACUUAGUACUAGUAGCAGUCCUGUUAGCGGAGUAGCUCUAGUAUGUUUUCCAGUAGUUCCGUUCAUGUGGGGGCAGUGUUCAAGUCUGUAUCGGUAUAGGGUAUUUGUCUUAGAAGCAGCAGUCAGAGUCUUCUUUUUAUGCUAAUAGGUUAGAUUCCCUACUAUAGAACCAAACAAAGCAAAGUUCUCAUUUUCAGGAUUCCCUUUGUUGGGAGCACCCCAGAUUCUUUUGUUUGAUUUUUAGGCUUACUUUUCUGCUUCUAAUACUUUAGAUAGAAACCAUUGUUAUAGGGAAGGAACCGAUCUCAGUUUGACCUUACUCUCUUUUCAGUCUAUACUAUUCUAGAAAUGGGAACAGGAAUGGAGCACCAAUAAGUGAGGGAAGAAAUUCCAUACCUAUAAGAAUUUAGCGCUAGGGCAUAACGGAAUGGGGCUAUCGACAAGCAACCUUUCACUACAGCUGGAAAGAGUUCCGCUCGGGAAUCAGAAAACGACUCCUCUAUUGGAAUGCCCUUAUUACUACUAUGAGAAUUGUGGACUGUGUUGAGGUGACAGGACCAUAGCUUAGAGACAAGGCUUUCAUUACCACUAAUAAGGCCGCUGAUGAGACUGUUUCUAUACAAGAUAUUAGCCGGCUCCUGCCUCUUUGAAAACCCUAGCUCGGAACUCGGAGGCUAACUCACUUGGUUUAGUAUGCCCUUCCCUUCUCUUAGUACGGAUCGGAUCGCGCUAGUGCCUAUUCUCCUGGUUGAGUCUACCUUUCCUUACAAACAUUCUAUCAUAUGAGAUUUUCUACUUGUUCAAGGAUUCUCUUAUUUCUGUAUUUGCUUGUUGAAACAUUAUCUUAUAUUAUCUUAAUCUUAUAUUAUCUUAAUAAGGGUAGUUUCUAUUCUUAGAGGUAGUAAAGCAAGCCAGUAGUUAGUGUUCCAUCUUUAUUAGUUGCAGUUCGACUCUUGCUAGCAGUGAUCUCAUUCUGUAUGGGAGGUUUUAUUGCUUGUAAGUAAGAUUGGAUUCCGUUAGGGGCAGGCUUCCUAGUCAACAUCAUAAGCAAGAUGCUAGAUCAGAGGACAGUAAUGUAAUACUAAACUAACGAGUAACGGUCGGUUGAUUUCUGUUAUUCAAAUAGAAUGACCUCGUUUAGGCACUUAGGGCAUCUGACUUUAGAGAUGACUUCUGACUUUUCCUAUAUUAUGGAGCAUCUGUUAAAGAUGAAAAGAGAAUCAUGGAACUAGUACAUAAGGUAUUAAUUCAAGCACCGAUAGAAACUCCGGCCAUAAUCAAGCUUCGACGAGAGCAAAAGGUUUUCUCUCAUAAGAUAACGUGGAUGUCAAGGAUUAGGACUGGUCUGACACUGACAGCAAUCGAAGGGCAGGGAACUGAACCAUACUUAGCCACUUCCCAUCUAUCUUAAUGAAUAAUUCAGAAUCCCCGGGUGAACCAGCAUUCGCAAGCGAACAACAAAAAAGUCCACCUGUGCUCAUAGAGGGGAGAGACUUUUAGAGACCGAGCCAAUAACUCGGGCCCCUCUAAUAGAAGUGGAAUCCUUGGCUUAGGCUUAUGCAGCCGCUUUCUUUGCCUUACAUCUUACAACUUUACGGUAGCCAGCUAUAUGGAUUUCCAAAGUGUUCUUUUACAUUGUUUUCUCAUCACGGAAUCCAAUUCUCUGCCCCACGGGAGUAGUUCUCGGACUUACCCUUAAGGAAUACGAAAACAACUUCCUUUUUCACCUUCCCAUCAUGGGUCUUCCCAAUCCCACAAACUAGGCGCGGGUAGGUUCGCUUAUUCUUGUUUUGAAAUGCGUAAACUCCAACCACCUUACUUUAUACUUGACUAAGCGCUUUAAGUGCAGUAAAUAAUCAUCUUAUCCCGUCCAUUCAUUGCAGGAGGAGUGAAAAGAGGGAACCCCUUGAGCGUAGGUAAUUCCAGCAUUUGAGCAUAUUUGGAAGAAGAAUAGAUCCGGUACUUUUCGUACUCCCUCUGGUAAGCAAUCGUGAGUGAAACCUAAGGAUUGGACUAAGCACUCUUUUAAGGUAAGGUAACAUAGUGGAUUGUUGCGCUAACCGAGUUCCUUCGUUUUGCACAAGUAAGUAAGUGCCUGCACCUUCAAGGAACUGAACCUACGACUUAGACCACACACUUAAGUAUAGUAUCCAUGAGCUUAGGAGCAAGAAGAGGCUCAAGAAUCAAAAACAUGUAUGAAUAUUGUUUCUCGGGGCGCCUCAAUUCUAUGAUUUGAAACUCUAGCAAGGCCUAAAUUCCAUGAUUGGAUUUUGCCGACCCCGACUUGAAUUGCUGCUUCCUUUCGCCUUAACCUCAGCAUGAGAUUCGAGAGAGAAAAGAUCAGAUUCGGCUGAGGCUUCUUAUUCUAUAUAGUAUUCCAGUAAAACACCCUAACUAGACUUUCCGGGUUCGUCAAGAAUUCACCGUGCUGUAGCAAUGAAAACUGGAAUGGAAUCUCUCGCUGUUAGGUCAACUCUAAACUCCCUUAGCGCCAGAAACAGUCAAUUCUUCUGCUUACUUGAUAACUCUAAACUCUUAUAUUUGAGAAUCAUUUCAAUCAAUCAAUCUUACCUAGGCGGGGGGACAAGAAUCAUUCUGGAUCUGAAUUUCCUGCUUCAUCUACUGAUCUGGUUUACUUAAAAGAACGUAACCAUUCUUUCGAACAGAACUCCUUGAUAUUGCUGGAUCUGCCCUGAACCCUGACUUUUCCUUCGCCUAAGUUUGACCAGUGGGGCAGGCCUAGACUUGAAGUACAGUACGGACUUCUUGUCCCGGAGAAGGAAAGGUGCUAAGAGCCUGAUUGUCCCGACGAUAACACUCCCCUUUUUGAACCUCUCUUCUCUAUACGACAAGGAGCUAGAGCACUAACCUAUCUCUACUCGGGAAAGCAGAAACAGUACCUUUGACCUCAGACAUUCAUCUAAAGACUCUUGACUCUUAUACUUAUGUACCAAUACUUACUUCAGAUUUCUCGGUGUUGGGCAGAGAGUCACGCAGGGCGAAAAAGGAAAAGUGUUUCACUCCAGCCACAAUAACGGAACUUCCCGCUUCUUAUUCAUAUUCUUUCUUAUUACUUCCUCACCUGGAACUUGAACUGGCAAUUCUCAACUGUCAACAGGAACUGGCACCACUGAGAGUUUCAUCCGUUCUCCUAUAAUAUAAUAUAAUCGAAAUGGAAAGGGUUUUCUUAUACUUAGUGUCUACUGAGUCGGUAUUGCUACUGUUGCUAAGGAGUCAAAUAAAGACUUGUUGCUACUAUAUGCCUACUGUUGCUGCUGCUAAAGAAAUAUUGCUAAUGUUGCUAUAGCUACUACUUAUUGCUUUACUGCGACUGUUGCUAAGGCUUAUUAUACUUAUUGCUACUUUCGAGUCGAGCACAUCGAAUCUUUUUGCUCCUCCAACUCUUUCUUGCUUCGGUAUCAAAGCCAGUCCUGUGCCCUAAAUUCAUGUCCCUCUUGCUAAUUCUUAUGUUUCUUAUCUGUCAACUGCCUCUGAGAAUGCCUCCACAGCCUCUGCUUGAGUUGUAGCUUGGCCUCUAUUCUUUUGGUAGGCGAGAAGGAUCACUAGCACUACUUAUAUGACUAGCUUUAGCUCUUUAUCUCAAGUAUUCAAGUGUGAAUUGAACUCACUGGAGCAAGAAACCCCGUACUUUGACCUUAAGAAUGGAAUUGAAAGACAUAGCUCGGAAAGGUACUCUCAAUCUUGGUUUACAGCCCUUUGCCCUGGUAUCCUCUAGCUUUAGUAGCAUGUGUGAGUUAAGUGGGUAAUAUGCUUGUGAUUCUGAAAAGCAAUGUUACGAUGAGUUAACCCGACACGGGUUUUGGUGAAUGAGCAUAAGUGGAAGUCGAGGAGAGGAAGUAUUUGUUUACCCAGGAAAAGAGGUCGGCCAAGUAGGAAAAUGAGAAUGAAAGUAAGUGACUUGGCUCGUUGCUUGGCCACUCCCUAAUAGUUGAGAUUCCUCUUUGGGCUGUUAUUUGUCUCGGGGUGCCCAGGUAUCGUCUCCACCGUAAGCCUUUCCUUAGCCAUAGAUAAUAUGUUCCACUCAUGUAAGCCAACUAGAAACAAACCAUAUUACACACAGGAGCAAGUCAUCACAUCAAGUGAAAGGACUGGGCGCUGAAGAACCCUAUAAUCCAACUAAGCACAGACCAAUCUGUUGACGUUACCAACAAGAGUAUAUUAAUUAGUUCCACAAACUCCAAUAAACGUGAGCACCAUGAAACAAUAAUCCGUUUGCUUCCUUCUAGCCCUUGCUUAAAGAUACAGUACCUCACUUGCGGAUCUGCUUUAUGGUGGAAUUGCAUUUCCGAAUCUAUCUUCUAAUUACCCACUUAGAUAAAAAACACUAGCUUAACGGCCACUGUAUUCAGUAAAGUGAAACAGUCAAAUGAGUCAUGAAGAUUGCUUGGUCUAUCUAUCUCACCUAAAAUUCACCGUGCUGUAAAAAAGGUAGGCACUGUGAUGGGAUUUGUUAUUAGCAUAGUGGACCAAGGUUUGAAACGCGGCAAAGGUCUCUGUGUUAGGAGUGCAAAGGUGUUGAUGCAGCUGCAAGAACUAGUCCAGUUGCGGCGUCUUCAAGUGAAGUGGAAGUAGGUGAUUAUGAUGCUUGUAUCUAAGGCUUACGCUCGGUCAGUUCCAGUUCUGGUUUGAGUUUCAUCCGUUACAUAAGCCGAAUACAGAUCGGAAGAAAGAUCUUCAUCAGCUGCCCUUAAGUAAUUGGUUGACCUGACAGCAAGAGAUUCAAUGACUGGUUGACUUGCGAGUCAGGGCAAAGCGUAUACUAGUCAGAGGCUGGAGCCAUGUAUAGUAAGGAAGUAGAGUUCAGUUCGCCUAGUGCGAGGCUUAGUGCUUUUGUUGUCAAGAGAAUCUCCGUCCUUUCUUCGUAAGCGGUAGGAGCCAGUGUGGUCUCUGAGUCCUGUGUUCAUGCCGCUGACCCUAAACCACGAAAAAAGGGCUCAUUCCCUCGUAUAUCUCAUGUAGCUCGCAUAGCCAAAGUAGUCACUAAACAAAGGCCUUGAUUUAGUUUGCACCCAGUACCACGAAACUCUAAUCAGAGCAAUCUUACUAAGUUCAAACUUCCCUACAUCAAAAGCUGUCUCGCGGGGAGACUUUGUAUUGAUUGAUACUAGUUCUACCCCAAGCCAAAUCACUUUACAAGAAAAGGCUAUGAGAUCAGCUCCGCUCUAAUAGACACUUAGCUUUGCAAAUAACACUAAGGCGGGAUGGGAUGGAUUGCAGCUGGGUUGAUAAGCCGGGAUUCAAUAUAGAGUUCAUGCCGAAGGGUCAAAUUACGACAAGAAGAGUUCCAUAGCCUGCUAAAAAAAGAAAGCACGCCGCUACGCUACUCUACCUUUAAGAGAGACUUGUUAUAGGGUGGCUGGCAGUCAUACGCUCCGUUUUUCCAGUUAGUGGCGGCCGAUUCCUAGUGUUACAUGGAUCUUCCUUGUAUCUCAGCGGUUGCGUAUAUAUAAGAUGGAGCCUAAACCUUGGUGUGCAUGAUGAAGUAAUCUCUUCCUCUAAUCACGAGGCCACAUGGACUGUACCCGGGAUUGAUUGAUUCCCGUUAUAUGCAUUGGUUGCUGCGCUGCUAACUACCGACCCCGAAAUGGAAUAUAGAAAGAGAAAUGAUUCGUCUUGCUUAUUUGCUUUAUCAUUGAAUUGAGUGCGAUGCGUGGUAAGACUGAACCUCCCAUUGCUCUAUCUCCGAUAGCAUGCAGUCGAUAAUGAAAAUAGAUAGAUAGAUAUAUAUAAAGUGUGCUGCGAGAGAUCUCUCUAGGUAACCAGUCUUUACUUCACUAGGUAACCAGUCUUUACUUCACUCUUUAUCCUCGGCGAAUCGACACUCUUUUAACAAGCAAGGAAUCUGAAUUAUAUCUGACGAGUCUCUAAGCAAUAUAGGUUUGGAAAAGCCAGCGCCCAAAGGAUUGAAGCCGGUCAAUGUCUGGUAGAGUAGGAACCUAUAGCUUACGGAAAAAGGCCUCGUUUGCUCAGAAAGUCCGCUGUCUUCCUUAUCCUGAAUCAAAUGGGCUUAACUAGAAAAGAUGGAUUGCCUGGAUCAAGAAAGCUCUUCCCAUAGUGCCUUAGGCCGGUCCCGGAGGCUAAGAUCGACUCUGCUUCUGAGAGCCUUAUUUAUUAUUCAUUGAGUCGCCAAGUCGGUAGCCUUUUCUUCCACUCUUGGGAUAAGGGGGCAGAUGGAAUUUAUACUCUUUCCCGAUCGGAGUCCAGACGUCUUUGUUGUCGUAUAGAAAGUAAUAAGCUUCAAUAAGAGUCGAGUUAACCUUCCUCACUCUCAAGUCCUAUUAGAUAGGCACACCCCGAUCGAAAGAGGGUAGGGUAUUCUGAAUACAGUCCAAGAGGGAUUAGAAUUAUCUACAAGGGCCAAGUCUCGAAAUGAAGAUGCAAAUGGACCACUCCUUUGACUUGUGUCUGCUUGGUCAGUUUCAAACAUUCCUACUUUCAUUAUCUCUUAUUAGGUAGGAUAACAGAUUCCACUCAGGAUUCAGCUGGGGAUGAAACUACUCAUGAAUAUAGUAAGGGUACGAUCUGCUGACUUCGAUCCGUUACUCGCUGAACUACUCCACACCUGCUCCCCACAAAACAGGACUUGAACUUGUAGAAGCACACCCGACCUAUACAUGAAGGGUGAAGACUUCUAGAUGCAGGGCAGCUCCUGUGUUGAGCAAGUCGUUAGUAGUUACUUGCCCAGUGUCUUGGCCACUAUCAAAUUCUAUCUCUUCUUAUUAAGUAAGGAUAGCGUUGAGAAAGAUCUUCUGCCGGGCCCCAGGUGUUAAGAAUACAGAUCAGGUAUCGGCUUUGUUUGAGGCUCGGGUAGUUGUUGAAGGAAGUUACUAGGCCUGCAUCUAGACUAGUGGAAUACCGAGUAGCAAGAGUAGCGAGAGGUGCGAGUGAAGUCGUACAAAAUAGGGCAGUCAAUAAUUGAACUCAGUAGCCAAACUCAGUAGCAAGAGCAAGAGGAUAGAGAUUUGCUGUUGGGGCUGAGGUAAGGUUAUACUAUAACUCGCAUUUAAGUGAAAAGAGAAAAACAACUUGCAUUUCCACUGUACACACACUGUAGACGGGAGAAGGUAGGGAAUUUGCCAUCAAACUAAAUCCGUUAUGUUAUAGUGAAAUUUCGCCUAACAUCUUUAGGGUUCCCCUCUGGAUGGUUCCUUUGCCUUAAGAGCGAGCUGGACUUGAAACUGGAUACUUCUCUUCCACUGGAACUGCUCCUGCUGAAGAUCUUGAAACUUACACUUAUUAUCUGGCUUCUGCAGCUUACUCCACGAAAGCACUCUACGAAUACAGGUUCACUCAGGAAUUUACAUAACUUUGUUAUGACGGCAGCUAGGGUAUUUCCGCAAAGCCAGUACUUUAUGAUUGGAUUUUUCCGACCUAAACAAUAAAGUGAUUAUUUCGAUAAGUCAAACAGAGUAUAGAAACUUGUAAGGACUCAGACACUCUAAAGCCACCCAAAGACAAAGACGAAAUUCAUGAAGAACUGAAAGGAGAGGUCAGGCCAGAUGUUGUGCUAAGUUGAGUUGCGCUUAAGGGUCAGUGAGUUACUGUUGUGCUAACGAAACAGUACAGUACAGGAGCAAGAGAGAUUCUAUUAAUGUUUGCGAGAGGAGCUGACUUGUGCGUAAGGAGUUUCGAGCUUGAUUACAUUCCAAAUAUAUGUAUGGUCGGGUGAGAGAGAUUAUUGGAAUUCGAAUGGCUCUUACUUGGAAAGAAGCCCUCUUUUCUUCAGCAGUAAAGUCAGCAGCAAGCGCGGGAAGUAAAGGAAAGGAGAAGGAAAAGAAAGUAGGCAAGCAACAAUAGGUUCAGAAAGAAAGUAGAGUUCGGGUCCCCGGGUGUUGGAUCUUCAACUAUAUAAGUAUAUUCAGCUGUGAGAAAGUCUGCUGCAAGUGAUAAGGAAGCUGAAAGUGCGUUGUCUACAAGAAAGGUUAUUAGGCUCUAAGUCAGUAUAGAGAGGUUCGGCGGUAAGAGAAUCCGCAUCAGCUAUGCUUAAGUCUAAAAGAGAAAGAAGCGGGAGACAGAUCUUCCACUGACCCUGCUCUGGAUCUUUAAACGGAUCUUUCCACUAUCAAAACGGACCUUUCUGACCCGAUUGCAGCUGAAGAAGUAAUUGAGGCAUAAUUCCCUGACAUAUAGAAUGUCGGCACCACGAGUUGGUUUCAUCAUUUAGGGUAGGGGACUCCUUUGAACUAAAAGCUUCUUCCUACUUAAGCGUCUUAGCCUUCAGUGCCCAGGGAUCUACCGCGAAGGUUAGAUUCCAUUAAAAGGUAGGUAAUCGAGGCCUAGACCUAUUGCAGGUGAGCCAGCCCCUAUACCGUACAUCUAUAUCAGCACCCAUCGAAAAGAAAGAGGAAGCCGCAGUGGCACAAGUGGUAGGCUUAGAUCUGUCUUUGAAGAUGCUUAUUACCUUUUGAGUUAUGUAUCAUCGGAUUCCUACUUGGAAGAAAGAGUCUUGUAGCUGAUGAAAAACUGGAUCUUGCAGGGGGUGCGAACUCGUAGCUAACGUCGUUGGUUGUCUAAAUAUCUCCCCCCAAAAACUUAAUGAAAUGGAUUUUCGCCCUUAUACAUACUUGGAAUUCCUCAUUGACUUUCUUGCAUCUGUAACUGCUGUUGAAACACAUUUGAGCCCUGUUUACCCCUUGACUGUACACACCCUUGCGCCAAGACCUGAUCUUUCUACAAUAACUAGACUUCUUCAAGAAAACUCUUUUGAAACUAAUAAGGAUCUUUCUUGUGCUGAAGCAGAAGCGGAAGAGAACUCCGUUAGCGCAGAUCAGUUCGAAACUCCCUUAGCGCAACUAAACUAGUUCAAUUCAAAAGGGAAGGAAGCCGGUAAGAAUCUAUCUCCACCCUAUUAUAUACUAUACUAUAUUAUCUUAUUCUUCUUAUGUAUAUACUAGACUAUAUUAUCUUAUUCUUCUUAUGCCUUCCAUACGAGACUCCACUUGCUUCUUUAUAUUAUAUGGUUCGGUACUCAAUAAUUUGCUGUGCUUGUAAAGUACACUAUAUCUGAUCUUUUCUCAAGCCCACGUAGGGAGAAAGUGGAAAGAUAACCGUAUCACUUAUCCAUCGGUAAAGUUGAAGACGUAGAAAUCAUCCUGUAUAGUAUGGAAUAUGAGUGCGGAUGUCGAGAAAACAUAUAUUGUAAUAAUGGGCUGUCCCCUUGCCUAUCUAUAUCUCAUAAGAAUGCACCCACACCUAGAUCUCAUAAGAAUGCACCUAAACUAAACCUAGAAACUCCCUUAGCACAUAGGUUAUACUACAGUAGGAGUCUGCUUGGAAACCAGCAGCGUUGACUUUAUCAAUAAAGAAAGUGUGCAGUCCACUCUCCUCUUUAGUUCAAUACAAACUAGAUGGUUGAUCAAGAGCACUAGGUUAGUUAAGAGCACCACCACCCACUUCACUUGGCAAGAGGGCAGGGCAUGGAAACAGGCAAUGACUAGUGAGGCAAAGGCAAGUCGACAAGUGCUGUAGUUUUCAGUAGCCAGAGGACAGGUAGUAUAGUAGCAGAAGAGAAUAGAGCCUAAUUCGAUUCCACAUCAAAUGAGAGGAAGAAAAAAGUCCAGUAAAUUGAUACCGAAGCCAGAGAAGGAGAAGAGUAUUACUUAUAAGCAAGAGAAGGAUAAGAGUGAGUUUUGUUCGGAUAGCCUAGAUUUAGCUGUGACUCAUUGUUACUAAUGUGACUCAUUUAAGUGUUACUCAUUUCAUUGGAAUCGGGCACUAGCUUGGCAGUUGCCAGAGGUCUAGGAUAUCAUAGUAGCGGUAAGUCUAUUCGUUGCUUGUUUAGUGCUCCUGUCUGAGGGAAGUAUCAAGGAAGUCAGCUACUGUCACUACAUCUGCUUACUUGUCUAGUCGUGACUUGGCCCUAACUCAGGUGUCUGUAUUGAAUGAAACUCAUUGCUUUUGGGAGUCCUAAUUGAGUCUGUUUCAGGACUUAGCGCAUCAAAGGCAUCUAGAUAGCAGCCCUCUUCUUAACCCGGCCCGGCAUCAGAUCUUAUUCAAACUCUGGCUCUGGCUACUGAGUUUGGCUAAUGAACAUCUGUUUCAGGGCACCUCGCUCAUAUCUACCUCGCUUCCUCGCCUGCCUCCGCUCUUGAAACUAACCUAACUCUGGCAACAAAGAAAGAUUACACUCUCAAAGCAGCUUACUAAAUUGUCCCUUUCAAGCUUUGGCUAGUAGUUCCUCGUGAGUUGGUUUCCAGACCUUUACCUUAAACUAGUAGUUUCGUAGUUUCAUCUGUAUUAGUUAACUACCCGGGUAUUCACUAAAGAAUGAAGUGGGCUAUGGCCUUGCAGAAUCUCUUUUCGAAUGCUAAACUGCUGAUUCAACGUAUCAAAAGGCAAAGGCAAAACUUAAGUAUGGAGUGGGUGCUAGGGAUGGUCGAGUUGACCGAGUGUAUGAGUUGGACCGACCUGGCAGUAAGUGAUAGAAUUAGAGAUAGAAGGAUAAAGAUGAAAGAGGGUUACAGAUAUUAGGCUCAAAAUGCAUUCUAAGGGUCGUUUCCGAGUUUAGAUAAGUAAUUAGCUAUUCUCAAAGUGUCCCCUGGCUUAAACUGCGCAAAAGUCGACUACUUUCUUUGUUGACCGGGCAGUCAGAAGUGUACGAGUGGAAUCAGUUAUCUUUAAUCCUACAUAAAGAGAAGAUAUCCUUUUUUCAUCGGGAAGAUCAACUGCUGAAGUCAAGUAUCCGAACAAGCAAGAGAAUAAUUCAUUUAUUAGAGAAAUAGUGGGAAAGCCCUUACCUUAUUGGAAAACGAAAAGAUGCUAGAUGCAGAAAUAGACUCGUACAUCUCUUGCCCAUGUUACGGCUGUUCAGUUGCUGACCUUCUCUCUCUUGCCCACGCCACGUCCUUUUUCUUAGGUGUUUAAGCAAGAUUAUAGGAUUAGAAGAAUAAUCAACUAAUUCCAUUCUUAAAGCUGGAUCAGAGUAGGCUAAAGCGGAUGUUGGAUCGGGUUCAGAAGCUUGCUUAAUAAGGGAAGGAUCAGAUCCAAAGUGAGAAUUCAAGUAAGUCGGAGGGGCUUACUAAUAACUUAGGGCUUACUCAUAACCGCCGGACUUAUUCAACACUCUAAAACACUGGAGUAUAGACUGGGCCUAUUGACUACCCAGGACAGUACAGGUGCCCUUACUUACUAAGCGAGUCGACCCCAGAAGUUUGAGUGAAGUAUCCUUUCUUUAGGGGCUUAUCUAACUGGAAAUCAAUCUACAGGAUCAGAAGAAAGAGGUGGUGCGGUGUUAGAAUCAGAGGCUUAAGUUAGCAGUGCGGGUUGGUUACUUUUCUUUCUAGCAUACAGAGCGGGGGGCGAGUUAAGUAGUAGAGCUAAGUUCUUUGCUUUCAGAUAACUAGUCAUUCUCAGAGUUGCGGUAACUAUAGGCCCUAUCACUAUCAAAUGAAUUAUUCUCUUUAUAAAGGAGAAAAUGAGAUCUAUUGAGAAGGUGGUCUGGUCCUGUGAGUUGGAUGAGCCGAACUCCCCUUCCUAUUAUUCUUGGUCAAGUUACCGUUCUCCAGGUAUGCCUGCUUGGCCCCUACGAUUGGGUUUGGUGACUUCCAUUGCCCACCGAUACUGUUACUACUGAGUUGGAUUCUUUUACUACCAAUCUGUUACUACUGAGUGGGAAUUCCUUUACUUACUCCUCCGAUCGGGGACACAACCCAUUCUUUAACUACCGAGUGCAAUUCUGGAAUCCCUACUUAUGGACUACUUAGUGAAAUUCUGUAACUCCUACUUCCACUCAAGCUUGCUUCCUUGCCUGUUUAACGACUUGUACUAGACGAACUCUUGAACUCCUUUUACUAUACCUAUGGCUACUAUAUAAAUCUACCUUUCCUCUGGCUCUUGCAACUCUCACUACACUUUCUUAACCACUCCUUUGACUUUAGACCCGGGCAAGUAGACAAAUAAAAGAAGAAAACUGCUCCCCGGAAGCGCUAAACUCCAUUCUUAAAGGAAAGAAAGAGAACUACAUAAUGAAUGAAUUGGUUGCCAUUACCAAGUCCACCAAGCGUAUACUAGUAGGGAUUCCUCAAUUCUAUUUACAGAAUAGACUUAACGAGCACUUAAACAAGUAGUAGAGUAGUUUCAUCAGUAAAUCCAAUACUAUAGCUACUAAGAAAAGAAAGAAACAGCUAUGAUUUGAAACCCUUGCUGGCAACAGUGAACUUCCAGCUGUGACUCAUUUGACUUAUCGGGAUAUUUGAAUCGGUCACUAGCUUGGUCUAACUACGUGUCUUGUCUGCUUGGCUCAUCUGUGUUUCUCAAUUGUAAAAGAGUUAAGUAAACUCUAUUCUCUACCUUCUCUGACAACUAGACCCCUAUUGUCUGGCUAGGCUCAUUCUGCUGUUUCGGGACAUCUCGUCUCAAAGCCUUACUUCCCUUUCCUCACUUUUCAUCUAAAAACUAGGUUUUAUUACUGAACACAUGCGAUGGGUUAUACUACUUUAGUUGCUUGACCCGGUCUUAAACUAAUACUAAGGCAGCUAGUCGAGGAAAUGAUGGAUCUAUAGGCCAGUGAAUUCUUUAAUGCCAAACACCUUUUAUAGCUUCUGUAGUGAGUGACCUGGUAUCAGAAUGAGGCUCCCGAGCACAUAGAGUUCAAAAGGUUUAUUUAUUAUAUAUUAUAAGUACCGGAGCUGCUGUUAGUAACGAGUCAAGUUUGAUAGUACUGGCUGGCCCGGUUAAGGGAGGAUUCUCUUACUUGCAUUGCAAGGGAGUUUCACAAAUAAAUAAGAUGAGAAAUACCAGUGCUAGAUUCUUUCCCAGAUAUGGCUUCUGCAAAAGCAAGAGAAGCACUCCGUUUCAAGAACGGGAUCAUAAGCCUUAGAAUUGCCAGUUCCAGUAAGAUAAUAUGCUGGAUCAGUUGAAAACAUCAGAAUUUGCCUAAGUAGUAGAACUCGAGAAGCCAGUAACUCACCAAAACACAGGUGCUUAUGCUUCCUUACCAGCAUCUAAUCCCUCGCUGACUGCUUUCAUUGCAAUUGAUUCACACUCAAAACCUUAAUCACUUCCUAUCAUCUUAACCCUAGACUCUAUGAAAGAAUUCUGACCCUAUUGCCUUUUUCCUAGAAUAAUUGAUGUUGGCACCUAGCUUGAAACUGCUUGAGCAACUACAGUAAGGUUAGAGUAAAGUAAGCAAAUCAUAAGAGGAAGAAUGGAAUUAAUGCAACUAUACUAAUAAUGGAAUGAAUUACUAAUAAUGGAAUGAAUGCUACUACUAUAUACUUUCAAGAGGGAGGCUGCGGGUGGCAAGAAAGAGCUCGGGGGUUGGGCAAGGGCAGAUAGAGUUGGGGGCGAGUAACGUCUAGGUUCCGCAACAAGUCCUGUCUUUCUGGCUAAAGUGAGCUUACCUACAAACUCAAUACCCGGCCCGGCUAAGCAUGCCUUUAAGUAGAAGAGUAACUGGAGCUACACUCAUUCAUAUACUAACUUGUCUUAUUCAAAUACUUAUUACUUUUACUAAUAAUACAAAUACCGGUCUUCUACUCUGAUAUUACGACUAAUACUAAUAUAAGGGGAAUCCGCGGAUGCAACUCGACCGAGAAGAAGCGAAAGAGAACUAAUACUGAGUCACUCACUCGCAUUCAAAGAAAUAGAUGGAAUACAUAGAAUACUAAGAAUAGGGGCCAAGCAACAGUCAGAAUGAAACCAGUAAGGGCAAGAAUGAAAGUAUUUCUUUGCCAACAACACCCUACUUUAUCACUGCCCCUGCUCUUGUUCUUGUUGACGAACAUCAGUACUUCCUGCUUCUGCUCGAACUCAACUUUAUGAACUGACACAGAGCUUAAAUAAGGGCUGGCAAUUCUGCUGAUGAUACUGAUGAAAAUAAGGAUUCUGCGCCUUCUUUUCUUCUGCUUUAGUGUACUAGCCCGCUUGCUGCUUACUUGAGUGAGAGCAGCUUCCCCUUCCUUUGAACUAGCUUCUGCCCCUAUUGAACUAAAGAAGAGAGUUGCGGAAGAAAGAUCUUAUCUCUUUGGGCCCUACUUAUACUACCAACCAUGAUUCUUUUUCUGACCUUGGAACAGGUGCCAGAGGUAUGGUUGCCAUAGGGGCUGUUGAAUCCGUUCUCCUAUAGGCGGUAGUUGUUGGCGACUCUCUAAUUUCAUUCUGACUUGACUAUCCUCGUGCUAGUGAUCCUUCUCGCCUACCUAGUGCUCUAAGGUUACCAACCACCCCUGUGCUCUCUAUGAUAUCAGUUAUUAUGAUAUUUGAUUCCUUUAGCCCGAGGAGAUACCCGCGAGAGUUGCUUGGUCGACACAAGUGUCUUGGCUGUGAUUUAUUGGAUUUUGAUUCAUCCCAUUGGAUUCUUAAGUACACUCACUACUCCUCAGUCAACUAAUUCCAUUCUUCUCUUCCGUACUAAUUCCAUUCUUAAGUAAGUGACUUGGCGGUAUUGAAUGAAGCUCUAAACUCUCCACUCUCCACUCCUAUUUCACUCCUAACUCAGGUAUUUCAUUUCACUCCUACCUCAGGAGCCGGGUGCUCGCAGGUAGGGUUACAGAAUUGCACUGAUAGGUGAGCUAGUAGUUAAGUGAGAAUGCCACCGGUACUAACUGAGUAGCUACAGUAACAGUAUAAGAUUACAACUACUAACAUCAAGACUUAAUAGCUAACCAGUACUAACAACCAGUGCUAACCAGUACUAACAACAAGACUGAAACAAGUGGUAUCAAUACUUAAUCCCUAGUGGAUAGUUUCAGAAUUGACCUCAGUAGUAACAGUAUCGGUGUGCUUAGUAUAAGGCUUUGAAGCUGGGGAAGUGAGACUGAAACACUAACUCAAUGCCUGAAGCCUUUGUAAACAGGAUCACUAGGUACUAAGUUCAUUCUUUGCCAGUAGUUAAGAGUCGCUAGUGGAAUACCGAGUGUAUUCGUUGCGAGUGUCUUUAGAAACAUAAUCCUAUGAUCGACCUGGUAGUAGUAGCACUGGUAGUAGUAGCACUGGUAGUAGAUCCCUUAUUCUUAUUAGUAACAGUAUCGGUCGGGAAGCUGUUAGGAGUAGUCUUGAGCUCCUGCCGCUGUAGUAGUUGAUUGGCCCAGUUCUGCUCUAGUUGCAUCCUAUUUAGAAGCUGUGCCAGGAAUGGAGUAUUGAUUGGAUCCUUCUUUCUUAUAGAAUCUGCUCUCCUUUUUUCAUAAGAGAAUAUAUUCUUUAGUAAGUUGUCUUCUACUGUGUCGGUAGAGAAGCCGAGUAUUGAGCUCCUGUCGCGCAACAAGAGAAAUAAGGUGAACUCUGGACUUGACUUGACUUUAAUCUGAUAUGAUACCGCUUCUUUUGAUCCACUUUCCACUGACUUCUGAAGUGGAGCUACUGGCUAUUAAGUUAGUUAAGCAUGAAUCCAGCUAUAUGGACAGUUGAAUCCUAAGUGAAGACCUGUCUUAUUUAUCCAUUUGCUAUAAGCCAAGGAACGUAGUUAGUGUAGCGCCCUUAUUGUAAGUUGCUGUUUUACGGGUUUGAUGAAAUCGGUAACCAUCUAUCGGUAACUAUCUAUCUUACGAAUCUUUCGACUUAAUAUAAGGGCAACUAAAACAACCAUCCUAUGGCUCUGCGAACUCUUUCUCUUCUACCUAUGUAAACUGUCAACAAAUCUAUACUUAACUUACUAGAAGGCCUCUUGCAACUGGUAACAUCUCUUUGAAACUUCCCGCAGACCUCUUACUUGCGCCUGCUCCUUCAUACGAUGAAACCAGAACUUUUCACUAUACUUGCUUACUUAGAGCUAGAGCACCAACACUCCCAGACUUUAGAUCUUUAGGUUGAUACCUUCUUUCUUAUAUGAUACUAGAGUGAAGAGUUACUUGCCCCAGAGUGAAGAGUUGACUUGCCCCUGCUAGACAAAGAGACAGGCGACUCGAAAACACGUUAACUCAGGACUUGGUCAAGAACAGGAGCAGCCAAGAAGGGAAUGAAUUAUACACUACGCUCCUAAGCAACUAGGCAAUCUGCCCUGCCCUUUCACUGUAAACUCUCCCUUGAGCCAGUAAGUCGGUUCCUUAGAACUGGAACUGAGUUGGUAAUAAAGGAAGGAACCAUCAAGAAGGGAACAAUCAAUAUUGUUAGGAAUAAAUGAACUAGAACAACACUUGUCCUCUGCUUCAGCCCUAGAUAGAGAAAAUUCCUUAUCUUACGCAUCUAGUUCCUACUCCCCAGAGUCUGUUUCUUAUCUGUAAACUGCUUAUUGCUGCUCUCUCCGUUUAUGGACAGGUAGCGGAGGCUAUGGAAACUUCAAUACAGUUAGCGGAGGCAGGCUUUAGAAUGGGGUAAUGGUACAGCCAGGAUUGAAAUACCGGAUUCUAAUGAUAUAAUAAGAUUCAAGUAAACGAGGAGCCCCGAGCAGCAUCUCGAAGCGGGUUGCCUUCUGGAAAGUAUUCCUGCGCGUGGUGAUUCCGGCUUUAUCAAACUAUCAGAUGACCUCAAGAUCAAAGUGGUUGUUUUCUCUGUAGUUUUGGUGUGUCUCUGUGUUGUGCCCUUCCUAACGAGACCCUGGUUGACAUCCUAUCAAUCCCCGUGAAAAGAACUCGGGGUGUUAUAGAUGUGGGUGCUGCGCCUUAGGGGGUGCCUCGUGUUAUAGAUGUGGGUGCUGCGCCUGAGGUGGUUGACUUACUUAGUGGUCUGGUCUAGUUUACUUACUUGCUUGUUAGGUUCUCUUUGGAAUGAUAUUACUAGGAUAAAGUGCUUGUGUUAAGCAAAGAAGAAAUAGAGAAAGAGGAAAUCAAGAGGAGUUAAUUACUUAGGAGUGAAAGAGGAAAGAGAGAGUUUACUUAUUAGGAGUUACAGAGGAAAGAGAUAGUUGACUUAUUAUAAAGAGAGAGUUGCCAGCAGCUUGUUGAGAUGCGCCAGAAGUAUAGUAGCAAGAGAAGAGGAGAAAGAGUUCAAAGAACCAACCAGAGCAAUGGGUCAGAGGUGUGGGCAAGGGGCAGAGUCAAUUACUUGCUUUGAAGCUGACACUGUUUCUAUUCAUUAUGUAUUCCUCUCUUAUCAUAAUCGUAAUAGUCGCACCUAAAGGAAAGGAGCAUCCGUUUUUCGAGUUGGGCAAUCAAGCCUUGAGGAAAGCUAAGUGAGAUUUGAUUCGAGUUGAGAUAAAUAAGGGCGUAAGCCUUACUGUAAGGACAGGCUAAUAGAAAGGGAAGGUAGCUUUGAAGCCAGUAGCGGCAGGCCUAUCUAGUUAGUCAUUGGAGAAUAAGAUAUAGCAAUAGGGGACUCAAAGCAAAGGGGUAAAGACCUCUAUGGCGGAAAGUAAGGCCGAGGUACAGUAGAACAAGGUUAUAGAUCAGUAGUUAGGGAAUUGAAGUGAGUAAGGGCAGCUUUGGGAUCAGUAACUACAGACUGAAGUGCAAGAGAAGCAGACUAGUGGGCAUGUAAGGUAAUACCAGUAGUGUUGCUAAAGAACGAGAAGUACCAGUUUCAGUUUGAAACCAAGCUAGUGCAGCUUUAGGUGUAGUAAAGCAAAGCGGAGGUUUGGCGAACUCAUUCUUGUCGUAUAAGCAUGAAGUCUUUGAUUAACAUCUAAUAAGUAACCUUGCACAUGCAUAGAAGAGCCGGGCAACGUUGGACUACUCGCACUACUACUACUCGUAUUAGCAAAAAUCCACACUAUUACAAUUAUUACUUGACAGCUCAGUACUUAGCCCGGGUAUCCUGACCUUACAGCUCGAUUCCUUAUUUCUACCUUUAUUCUUAGAAAGUUAUACACAAAAACCUGUCUUUUAACCAGCUCUCCUCCAUUCUGUUACUGCUGGGUCGAGUUCUUUAUUUCCUCUUUCCCGCCUUAUCGCUAACUACUAUUAGUAUCGGCCCUAAAUCCGACUACUUCAAUUAGAACUAGAGAACGGAUACUACCCUCGGGCAACCAUACCUCUAUUUGACUAUGAACUGGAAUUGCUAGUUAGUGGGAUAAGUCUUGUCCGCACCUGUACAAGGAGAAAAGUCAAGAUAGUCAACCUGUUUGUCAGUAGUAGCUCAGUUCUACUAAGCAGUGGUAUCGGCCUCGGAAGCAUUAGUCCUAGAGUGCAAAUCCUUAGUAUUGGUCUUGUUAGCACGAGUGGAAAUCCCAGUUUCUUAAAGAGUGAAAGUCGAGGUAGCGAGAAUGAGAUCGAGGAAUAACAGACCGAGAGUAAGGGUAGUUCGAAUAGGAGUUAGGGGAGGAAGAAGAAAAGGUAAAAUACAGAGGUCAAGCAGACAAGACGACAAGACGGCAAGUGAUGUUUAGUUCGCCAAUAGUUCCAGUUUAGUAUAGAAACGCGGGUAAUCUGAAUAACUUAGCUACCGAUGCUUGAGAGUCUCCGAGAUCAGAAGCUUAGCAAGGAAAGGACUCGAAAAGGCCUGAAUGUCCCGCUCUAGCAAAUAGGUUGGAUUCUUGUGUUGUUGCUCUAGCUCUAAGUCGUGGAGAGAUAAGUGCUUCUUAUGCUUGUUCUGUAGAACUUGACUUUCGAACUGCUUCCUCACCGGAUAUAGCUUCAGAUCUAUCUAAAGUAAUUUGUAUGGGGUUCAUCCGCCUUUAAAUGUAUAUCUUAUUAAUAACAAGGAUAACAGAUCCAACUCCAUCUGCUUACUUUGGCACUGCUUCCAAUUAGGUUUGACUCAUUAGAUAGGGAUUCCAUUGAUUAACUGAAAGGAUAGGUUGGGUGUCCAAACACAGGUUCACUCUGGACUUGGCCUCUAUUAAUUACUAUAAGAACAAGAUCAUCGGCCGGGAGUUCUGGUAUUGGCUUAGAAGCGGGAGGGAAAGACAGAGCUAUCAAAAAAGCCGGGUACUCGAUAAGAAAGAAGCCUUAGAAAGUAUUAUUCCAGCUCUUGUUAAGUAUCCGACAAGUAACUACUAUACAAGCAAAUACUUCGAGUCGAGAUCAAUAGGAGAUUCCCGUAGCCGUUAAGCGAGUAUCAUCUAGAAUCGGGAUCAUCAGCAAGAGAUAGAUUCCAUUAUGUAUGAACUUACACAGAAGAAAGAAAGAGUUUGGGUAUGAACUUACACAGAAGAAAGAAAGAGGUCGGGUCGGGAAGCUGUUUAAUCAGUAGCUGAGGCUUCCAAUCUAGUAAUGGAACGGCGUAGUAACAGUAUCGGUCGGGGCAGACUAUCUUACAGGCUUUGAGGCUCGGGUAUGCUGGUUUCAUGAAGUGAGUGACUAGGCUCGGGAAGCUAUUAGUUUCUUUCUAAAGAAAAGAGAGAGGCAAGGCCGGGAGUGAAAGAGUUAAUAAAGAAAAUAGGAUUGAAGUCUGCUGCCCCAGGUCCAGUGAGAAAGUCUGGUUAUGAGAGGUCGGGUCGGCUUGGUAAGCUAUUCCAGUAUGGUUAUUGCCCCUUUUAGUAGUUGUCCUGUUCUGGUGAUUGUUUCAUUCCUUUAUUGACUAGUUUGAUUCUUUGGUCAGCGGAGCCAGCCCAGUUUCAUCAGUAUUUGUUUGUAGCGGAGAGAGAGGCUCGGGAAGCAGUUAAGGAGAUAGGCAAGGAGGAUAGAGUUUGGGGCGAGUAAUGUCUAGGCUAGUAUAGUAUCAAUCAGUCCCAGUGUUGUCUAUGGGAGAAGGGGUGAGGUUGAGGAAUACUAUAGUAAUGAGUUAACCCUAUUUGUUGAGGAAUACUAUAGUAAUGAGUUAACCCUAUUUAGUAUAUGCUUGGUAGCCUAGCUUCUUUAUUGGCUCAAGAACGGAAAGAGACUCCAUUGCCAACAAAGACAGACCGACCCAGUGGAAUCUUCCUGGGCUAUCCGAACAAGACUCAGAACCGAACCAGUGCAUCUCUAAGCCUGAAAGCAGUGCAAGCAAUCCUUCCACUAGUGCAUCUCAGCCUGUAGCAAGUAGGCCUGUUCCUGUGUUCGGGUGCUGGGGCAGGAUACACUUACUACUGACAAGGUUUAUAUCGCUACUAACAAGAAAGAAGUCUCCUAUUAGAUCAAACGAAAUAACUAACUCCUCCCAUACUGACUUGGUUUCUGCAGCUACUGAUCCAUAUCUUUGCUCUACUGCCUACUAGUCUACCUCCCCUUACUUGUAUUCCCUAUUGAAUCUGUUAGCCUGCUCUGCCUUACGCUAAUUCUACAGCAAUUGAUCUGGAACCCUGCUCCACUAGCGGAAAUUCUAUGACUACUGACUCGGAUCCUGUCACCAAUACCGAUAAGAACCAACCUCCAAAGUCGGGGAAAUAGGAAAGAAACUACUAGUGUCGGGAAUUGAGCAAGUGCACAAACACAAAUGUCAGAAUAAAGACACAGAAUCCAUUUUGGAUUUGUUAUUGCCGCUUCUGCCUUUGACGAUAACUCGGAACUACACCUUUCUCUACUAUAUACCGGGUCGAACUACUGCCUACAUGGAUGGAACCAAUAACGAUAAGACUUGAACUCAACACUAGGGGAUCCGACUACCGCUUCUCGGCAUUAAGCUUAUAAUCCUGAAGUGAACAGGUGCUUCUCAUAUUUAUACUUGGCACAGGGAAUCCAAACACAGAUAAAAGGAAUGCCCCUACGACUAACAAAGUCACAAGGUUCGAACUCAUACUAAAAAGAAUCCAACAAGAACACGGGAACUCAGCUACUACGAUGAGACCUUAACUCACAGCUAGGAAUCGGGCUAGUAAAGGUAAAACGGACACCCGAAACUGGGAAUACGAACACCAGUAACAGGAAUUGGCUAAUACCUAAUCAGACCACAGGCCAAGGAAGCACUAACUAGGAGCCCGCUCUUCUUUGCUUUGAUUUCAUCUGACUUUACAACCUACGAGCUUGUCUUUACCUAACUUUCUUAUGUAUUGAUAGCUAGUGGCCCGCCUAUCCUUUAGUUAAGUAUGCUUUUCCGGGUUGGGGUUCAUAGGCACCAAUGUUCAAUUCUAUACGACUCUUGUGCAUGGGAUCAUUCUUCUUUUUAUAUAACUUAAUUGGUGUUGUUCGAGAUCUACUUCACAGGUGGGGCAGAUAAAUACCCUUACGAGCUCACUGCCUCAGUCAGCUAGCACAGGGCACAGGCCAAAAUAGAGAUGAGAUGGCAACUCUACCUGGACACUUUUUCCUCUGUAUUCUGGUAGAAAAUAGCCUGUUUCUAUGAUUGAUAUACCAAUAGGAUAUACUAAUUAGAAUAGAGGGCCCCCGACUAUAUAUAUAUGUUGACUAUGUAUUUGUUUCUGCACUGAGAAAUGGGUUUGGUAAAGAAGUCGUGCAAUGUCAGUAAGUCCGGUUUCGAUCUGAUCUCGUUUUCCUAUCUGUUAGUUUCAUCCUGUCUAUACGUUUAGUUAAGUACUGACUUAUCUCAUUCUUGGACUACAAGCUUUGGUUCUUUAGUGACUCGGCAGCCUGUUUGUCAGUAGCUCUAGUCCUGUUAGCGGUGUUUUCAUUCUCUUCUUCUUUAUGCUUUCUCUUAUUACCUACGUGGGAAUGGGAGACUCGUAGGCAGGCGGAUCAGAUUUCACCAAGGGGAUAGUUGGCCUGUUUGCCAUUAGUCGCGUUCUGCUAUUGGUAUAGUGGUAGUUGGCUUCUCCCCGUACUGUACUUAGUUCAAUCAUUCUAUUCAUGUACUAAAUUCGAUUACUGUUGAGUUUGAUUCCAACAACGCUUACUUUCCUUCUAGCGAUAAGGCUUUAAAGAAACUACUAUACUAUAAGAACUCAACAAGGGUCGAUGUAAUUGAGCUGAUACUUGUAAGACUUAAGCGGAAUCAUAGGAUACUAAGGAUAGUAAUGAGAAUGGACACUUUUAAGGCUAAGUGGCCUGGAUAAGGAAAGGAUGAAGAGUCACCCCACUUAACAAGAAUAGGCAUAAGGAAGGCAAGGCUCCACAACUCAAUACAUUUGAAUGAAACAAAGAAGUAGGAUUCGCACUAAGAAGUAGGAGCUCAACUCAUAAGUAUAGAAGAAUGCAAAUGUAAACAAGGAAUACAGAAACAAAGAAUACAGAAGGAAACAACAAGACAGAAGGAGACAACAAGUAGGAAUUGCGAGUAUUUGUUUGAAACUCAGAAGGUAGUAGUUAGUAUAAUAAGUAUGAGUAUAAGUAGUUAGUAUAACAAGUAUAAGUAGAAGUAUAUCAGUAGUGAGUAUUAGCAUCAGUAGUCAGUAUCAGAAUCAAACAGGACCAACAAGACUACCACCAACAAUGCGAGUACAACUCAUCAAUUGAAGAAUUCGAAAAAAGCGGCGCAAACACCAGAAUGAAAAGCACCCUAAGGAAUGAACCCAGAAACUUGGAAUUAAACCACCGAUCUCACAUCUCGCAACAAAGUGUAGUCUCUUCCUUUCCUAUAGUGAAUUUAAGCCUUGCUUUUUGGUCAGUUAAUUCAUUAUAAGAGGAUCAAGUAUUAAAGGGUAGUAGGCUUUCAGCGCCUUAUUCGUAGUUGGAUCCUUACCUUACUAGUGAAAGUGUUCGUAAGCACUAGUUCCGAGCUAAGGUAUUAUUGUUAGUAGGCGCAGGCUAUUAGGCACAUAAGUCAGAAUCACAGAGGGGAAAUUCAGGCUUGGCUACUGGAUUUAGCUAUAGGUAUAAUAGAAGGAAGCGGGUAAGUCACCUGUGCUCUUCACCAACCCAGUGACCCUUGAAACUAUAGUAUACGCUUGUGAGUUUGUAGUAGUUGCUUGGCCCUAUUGGCUCUCUUUGAAUAAGAGUAUAGAGAGUCAUAAUUACAGAAAGAAGUAAGAAGCAGUGCGAGUAGUGAUGGAAUUCCAGUUUGCAGUUAAAGCAUGCAAGUCAAAGGAUUCUAAGCCCUCUAGUGGGUCAAGUGAGAAUUGCAGACAGGAAUGGCAGGCUAUAAGUAGUCGCAAGGUGGUUCGGUGAGCUAACUUCUUCUGUAGGGGUGUAAGUAAUCGGAUUUGGUAUAGAAGUCACAAGUCUAAUAACUAGUAUAGUAAGCAUGAUAACCAAGGAAAGAAGGAAGGUUCGAGUUCACGCAGUUAAAGAAUACAGGUCAGUAGGUAAAGUUUGAAAGCCAUUUCCAAAAGCAAGGCCCGAGGGCUGUUGUACAAGAGUCAAAGAUGUGCGAGGUGGACUACUCAUGGGCAGUAAAGUGAAAGGACGAGACAAGCCCUCCUGCUGCAGACUCAAGGCAAAGAGCAGUAGAAUGCAAGUUCAGGUCAUACUUCUUUCUACACGGGGAGUAACGGGCUAAGAAACAGUAAUGCCAGUUUGUUACCGGGCUAACUCUCCUCCGUUGGUGCGCUUACUCAUACUUACUUCUACAACUAGUUUGAUGCAGCUACUAAUACCACUGAGUUAACUACUUUUGCUUUUCUGAGUUUCGUCUCCUCUUCUUGUUCUUGUAGUCAGUAGCACCAGUCUUAUCUGCAGUAGCGGAAUUCCCCUAUUUGUACACACAGGUUCGAUCCUUGUUGUCAGUGUUUGGCUUACCGGUUUCUUGUAUCAAUCUAAUAAAUAGUAGCUCCAUUCUGAUGCUCACUACUGUUAUCCUGCACUCGCAGGCUUCAUGAUGGAAAGUACUAGUUAUAGACUAAAAGCAAGGAAGGUAAGUACCACUGAGUUGGAUCCUUUCCCUUAGUAAUUGAUUUCUUUCUAUUAAGUAUUAAGACCGGUUCAGUAACUACAAUCCGAAUCAGUAGCGGGAGUUCUGAUAGCAUAGCCUUGGGAUCAGUAGCUCUUUUCUUUCCCUAUGCGAAGACAGUCGCAGCCUUAUUAGCAGCAAUGAAAGCCUCGGCAACUACACUAGUUUUCUGGAAUAUUGUAUGGAUUCUUUGACUUAUGGCAGUGAUUCUUCCUUUCCAGUUAGUAUAUUGUAUUGGUAGUCAAACCCGUGUGUUACGCGCUAAGUAACUACUAGACGCCAAGGAACGGAUAGACAAGCAACGGGUAAGAGGAGAGUUAUACCGAAUUCAGUUAGCAGAGAUGAGCAAUAAUAGUAUUUGUUGACUUCAUUGACCUGGGCCACAAGAAAGACACCCUCCGCUUUUUGGUACUUUAUUGCUUAACGGGGACCUAGCUUUAUACCAAUGGUACCGAUCUUGUGACAUAGUUUUUGGCACUGAAGCAUAGUUUUUGGCACUGUAGCUAGUGUUUCUAUACCUAGGAACCGAUCUUUCGACACAGGUUUUUGGCACUCUGAUAAAGCCCUUGUUAACUCUUAACCCCCUUCCCUUCCUGUUAGCGCAGAGGAAAACAAAGAAUUCACCCAGUAGGCAAAGAAUCAAACUCCUAACAGCUAUACAGAGAGAUGGACAGAGUCAAGAACAGUACUGGCACCGAGAAAACCCUACUUAUGCUUAAACACAAGCAUUCGAACCCGGACAGCUAUUGAUUUGACUCCUUAGCAACUAUAGCAACUAGGCAUAACUCAUUUGACUCCUUAGCAACUAUAGCAACUAGGCAUAACUCAGUAGCAAUUAGUAUAUGACUCCGAUCUUCUACUAGGAGCUAGGAGCUACAGCACCUAUUUUUGAUGCAGAUAUAUAAGUGGCACAGGAACUGGUUCUUCUCUGGCUCUCUUUCUAGACAAAAAGCACUCUAAGGUCAUUUCCUGAGGCAACAUAGGUCAUUUCCCAUAAAACGAAAUCACCAAGUAACUAGGCAAGGAACUACUAAUCUAUAUAAAGAGAAAGAGCAAAGGAUUUACAAGUCUUAAUGGGAGAAGUAGUGUUGACUGACAAAAAGACAUCAGCGAAGCAUACUUUCCUGCGCCGUUCACUUGAAAGGGACCCCGCUGACCGGUGUUUCCUGUUGGUACUGGUUUAAGCCACCAAGGCACUCGGGCCAAGGGCAAAGCAACGGCGCAAGCCGCUGCGCGGCAGCAACAGAAUAGAUAUGUUAUAGCCAGUUAUUAACAAGUCCUGUGUUCGCGUUCCGCGGCAGUUGUUUGGCAAUAAGAAACAACAAAUAAAUAUACUAUAUGUUGUUAUUACUCCAGAUGUGUUCGGUGACGCGGUAGCGAGUUAGAGACUCACUGGUUGGAUUCUUAGUUGCAUUCUGUAACCCUACCCUAGCUGCUUGGCCUGUAACUCCUUCCUUUUAGUGCAAUUCUGAUCUUAGUACUGGCUAGACUAUAUAUACCUCGGAGAAUAGAUACCCUUACUACUGGAUACCCUUACUACUAGCCUACUUCAACUCAAGCCUGCUCGUACUUAAUUAUUACUUUAUAGGUGACUUCUGCCUUUCAAACAUCAACUCUUCAACAGCAUUCAAACUCUUCAACUGCAUUCUGAGAUUAUUACUUGCUUCACUCGACUCUGGCUAAUGAGUCAGUUUCUUCCGAUCUAGUACUUGAUUCUACCCGGGUCUAUGCGGAUUCUUUAACUCCGACUUUCCUACCUCUACUGUUACUACUUAGGUCAAUUCUGAGUCCCCGAACGCAGGACUUGGCCAUACUAAAUGAAUUCUGAUCUUAUUAAGGAAAACAGAUUCCACUAGGGAUGAAACUGGAAGUCAAACAUCCGACCCCUUAACUAGACACAUGGCCAGGACCCAUACGCGGCACCCACACCUAUUUCCUCAGGCGAGGCACCCCUAGUCGACUAGGCACCCCUACUUUACUAGACGCAAAUAGUUGACUUUUGAACUUCAUCUGAUCUUGUUCUUGUGUGAGUGGAAUACCGAUCCAGUUCUUGUCUAGUCGUGACUUGCCUCGUUGCUUGGCCCUUCCCACGCAUACCUUCUCUAGCUCCGAGUUCGGGGACAAGCUCCUAAAUUUCCUGCUCCUAUUGAUUUUAUACCUUAGUACUUAUAGCUUCCAUUGAUAUGACCAUAAAUAUAGUAUGAGAGUACUAGAGCAAGAGCCACCCUUCGUCCGGAGUUGCUUGGUGACCCUUCAACUAGUAUACGAGUAGUUAGGUAUCCUGGUUUACCCGCCAAGUCACUUGUUAUGCGGCAGGAGCGGGGCCUUCCUAGAUGGGAAGGAAUGUUUUGAACUGCUCCCCGGUUUAUCAUCUUUGUUUCUCAAUUGUAAAAGAGUUAAGGCAACUGCUCUUCUCCGGUCUGAAACUCAAGGGUCUUACUACUAAGAAGAAUAAGGGAUACUGAGUUGGCGUGAGAGGGUCUGCUUGCUUGUUUGUCAAACCCUUCUUUCAAGUCCUUUGUUCGCCUAACAAGAAUUCCUCUCCUGCCGUAGGUUCUACCACUUAUUAACUCUUAUUCGAACCCCCCGGUCCGGUGUUAUGGGCAUAUGAUACUCCCUCUCCAGCCUCUUAUUCUUUGCUUGGUGUUACUUACUUAUUUAGUUUACUUAGGUUAAUUACUUAUAUCUUAUAUUGAUAAUUGGAUAUAGCGCCCCUAUGUAGUUAGAAGAAAACAAAGGGAUAACAAGAAGGCAAACAAGAGUAGAGCUGCUGAUAACAAGGCUGAACCUACUACUUGACAAGGAUCGGAGUGUAUGGGAAAGAGUCGGGGAUAUGGGCACUUACUCUAAUACUUUAACUCAGAGCGGGGAACUCCACUAGUGUACUAACGACUUCAACUCAAAACAAAGGUGCUGAAAGCCUACCACUUUAGAUCUAGAACACGGGGAAUCCAACCACUGCUUAACAAAACAGGAACCAGUGCUAGCGGGAACUCAACUAGGGGCUUUCAAAUCAAGGGAAGCGGUAAAAGAAAUGAACUAGCAACAACAAGGAUCGAACUACUAGAAUACAAAUACAAAGAGCAGAACUCACCCAGCAACUACGAGCUAUGAGCCUGACAUCCCCACACCACAACUAUGACAAUGCCGUAGCUACAUUCUCGAGCUACUUACUUGGAUUCUAUAGUUGUAACUUCAAUGUCUAUGUUCCAGUGUCCACUCUUUUAUCUAAGCCCUACGCCCUGGGCACACCUAAUCCGUAUUUGACCUUUAUAUAUAUCAGUCCGCCUUCCCCAGCGACCAUUCAGACUAUACUAUAUCUCUCAUUCUAACAAUUAUGCCUUUGACUCUCUAACACUGGACUACAGAUCUGACUUUCUCUUCUUCGAUUCUAGGACUACAGAUCCAGAUCAUAUAGUGAUAUUGCCUAUGAGCCUACUCUCCUUUAGUGAAGUCUGAUAUGAUCCCUACACUAAUAAGAAAGGAGCUAGUGCCUAUAAUAAUCAAUACAAGAAUCAGUAUAUGUAUUAGAAGUAUCCAAUCUGAACUAGUGCUAGCAAGACUGGAGCUAUGAACAGGGGAUUCCACUGGUACUGUUAAGAGUGCCCGCCAAGCGACUACUAAACAAGAUCGUACCUAGUCAUACAUGCAAAUACGGAGCUUUCGAGCGCAUAAGCAUAAUCCUUUCCACUAGACGACUUUCUACCUUUGCUUUAUAAGAGCUGAUCCUAAAACUAGGAGCUGAUCUGGAAACUAGAACUUUACUUUCCAUUGAAGCUUCCUUUCUUUCGCCAACAACUGGAUCGGAUACUUAUUCACUUCUUGCAACACCUGGUGAGGGUGCGAGUUCCUUUGCUUUAAUAGCUGUUAUAACUCCUGACGCUCGACGAAAGCAGAAACAUAAACUCCACUUGCAUUUCCUAACUCUCCAAGAACAGAACUACAAAGAGCAUAGGCGGGACUAGAAGUGGAACAAGGCUAAGGGUCACUCGCUACCCAUCUUUUUGGUUACCCCUUUUCUCUUUCUAUCUAAUGUAAGUGAAACAAUAACUUCGAUUCUACUUUGACCUUAUGAAACUAUCCUUUACUAACUACUUGCACCCUCCACUCCACUACUCUUUUUUCUUUAUGAGGCGGAUCUUCCCACCAUCUCUUUCUGAGCCCGAAAUAAAGGACUUGCUCCGGGCCUUGUACUAAUGCUUGACUCCCCCAAACAGGAAUUGAUAAGUCAAAAGAGAACAAAGAAUUCCAUUCGAAAAUAAAGUGUAGCUCCAGUAUAAAGUAAGUUGCUAAGAAGGUAUGUAUAGUUAACCUGUACCGUUGACCCUUACGCGAACUCGCUAAGCUGGCAUGAACUCGCUAAGGCUUAGUGAUUAAACGAAGCAAUGCUCUUCUGGUUUGACUUAAUUAUGGAGUAGGGGGCAUCUAGAGAAAAUGAAAUAAGAGCAAGCACAGGAAUCAAAAGCAUAAUUAUGGUAGGUCGCUUGGGUGCCUACAGAAGAAUUAUGGUAGGUCGCUUGGGUGCCGAUAUUCAAUGGGUUAAGGAAAGCAUAGAACAACAGGACAAAAGCAGUGUUUUGUUACUUAAUGACAUUGUUUUGUUAUUUUCUUACAUUAGUUGGUUGUGCACAUCAUAUUCUAUCUAUUAUACCUGGCUCAAGGCCGUGCCUUUAAAGUCACUGAGUUAGUGCGUGCGUUAGGCUUAUUGUGUUUGGGUGCAAUAGGGGUUUCGCACCUUACCUUCUGGAUUCCAUUCCUUAGUUUAUGGUACAGGGGUGCUAACGUGUUAGGUGAGUUUUCUUACUUUCCUUAAUUCUGGGUGCCCUUCUCAUACAUAUGUACUAGUUAAUUCGCGCUAUAUUGGUUAGUGUUAGUUAGUUAGUUUCCGUGAGGGUUGCCUCCCUUCUCCUCUUAAAGGUUUCGAGUCUCGCAGCUAAGUUCGUUUUUAAGGAAGCAGUCAUCGGGGAAGUUCAUCUAUUCAUAGAAUCUUUCAGUAAUAUCAUUUUCUUAUGUGCACUCAUAUGAUAUGAUUUUAUGACUUUAUGGAACACUUGAACACUCGCCUUCUAACGCACUUGUUUCUUGCUAAAUAAGCUAAUGCUUAAGUCAGGGCUUUCUUUCAUGCUCAAGAAGUCUAAAGUAUAAAGUCACUACGAAAGUAGCAAGUCCUUUUUAUUGUGUCAGAAAGUAGCAAGUCCUUUUUAUUGUGUCCAUGCAGAGAAGUUUCCUUUUUUUGAUCCAUUAUUACCACAGAAGGAAGAAGUGUCGCUUCGAUAAACAUUGGUAUUGACUGAUAUAUCUCGGACCACGAAGACCCCAGUCGUGCGUGCUUCUGGUUUCCAUUUAUCCAUUCAAUAUUACUAUAGAGAAGGCAACUACUCGUGCCAAUCAAAAGAUAGUAAACAAAUAGCGCAUAUGCAUUGAGAUUGGAAUUAUUGAGUCAAAUGAUGCCUUGCCAAUCGGCGAAAGAAAGAUAGCAAGCACGGUCGGGUUCCUAUGCUCCAAAUGAGUUUGUGAGUUUAGCAUCUAUUCUGCUUCUGGAACUUGCUAAAUAAGCUGUAUAGGGUCUUUCACUCGCUUAAUAAGCUUAAUAGGGUUCUUUUUCCUAGCUGAGUUCAACAAGUAAUAAGUCAGUUUAGAUUGAUGUUACCUAAUUCUGGAAUCAGUGACCCAUAUUCCAUUCAAUUCACGGGAAUAAGUAAAGUUUACUGAAGGAAAUCCUUAUUGCCUGUUGAGUUGAGUUCGCCACUUAUGGUUAAUGCUCGCUGGCUGGCAGGGUUAAGGUAAGAAGAGAGUACUGUACUGGCCGGGUAGAAUCCCAAGUCUGGUUUCGGGUGCUGAAAGCCUCCUAACUACCAACCUACCAGCAAAUAGACGACUCUAGCUAUCCAACCAUAGAUAGACGACUCUUGCUAGAAAACGAUAUAUAGUAUGAAAGAAAAGCUAGUAACAACUUCUAAAAGAAAGGAAGGCGUCAGGCUCGCUCUAUAAUGAAUAAGUGGGAACGAGCGUAAUACCAGUAGCGAGAGGUUUAGAGGAAGGCGUCAGGCUCGACUGUGGAACUCGUCUUAAUGUGUUUAUUCCUUAACUCCUAAAUACAAACUAUGAGGUAAGAUCUAUUAACUAAUAGAAAGUUACAAGUCACAGAAAGAAGGAAGACUGAGAUAGAAUAAACCUAGAGAUCCGCUCAGAACUACUAGCUUAUGAGAUCCCAGCAAACAAAGUAAGGCCUGCCCCAUCACAAAGAAGGCAGAACUAGGAACUAUGGAUUAGGGAUUUGAUCAACUAGCAACUCAUUCACUCAAGAAAAACAAGCAAGAGAAAUAGCAGAUUCAAGCAAAAGACAGAAGAAAUCACCCUACAGAUAAACAAAACACGCAAGAUUGAACUCCACUCAAAACCUAAAAGAAAACAGCAUUAGAAAAAGCCCACUCAAAGAAAGAAAUAAAACAGAGCGAACAAGACACACCGGAAAGAUAGAAUCGAGUCAAAGCUUUUCCACCGGAAGACAAAGGCGACAGACAGACUUACUGAUCCAAAGGGAUCGAGAGCAAAGAAAGAAAAGCUGACUGAAAGACAUUUGACUGAGAACUAAUUGGAAAGAGUACCUUCUAGCAUAUUGACUUUCUUGGAGAAUCUUAUGAAGCAGGGGCCCGUCGUACUUCCCUGGGCGACGAAGCUGCGAUAGGUGUGCGAAAUGAGUGAGACUUGGGAUGGUAGCCCCUUAAAUAGGAAAGAAAGCCGGGAUAAGCUUAACCUCACACUAGCAAACAACAGCAUAGCAUUGAAAACGAUGAUAUGGCUUACAUACAAAGUUCCCCCAAUCUACUUCUCUUCUUAUGGUUUUGCUAUGAGUUACAGCUGCUCAAUAUUCGUUAAUGUGGACUGCGGAAGUAAAGUAGUCAACUCUUCCUUCUUUGUUAUGAAUAGAAUCUCUUUCGAAGCGCAUUUCUUAAUAGAAUCCGCAUUGAUCUGUCCUUUCUUUCAUACUCGCUGGCCUUGGUCGACCUUACCUUCCGUAUUUCCAGAGAGUUAACAAAAGGCUUAUCCCCAAUGAGGAAAGGCAUCCAGUGGGCCGAGUCAGACAAGUAAAGUCAACAUCUGGCUUGAGAAUUCCAAUAGUGCAGUAUAUAUAAGCGCAAUUUCAAUGAAAUUCCAGUAAUAUAAAUAUGGAAUAAUAAAAACACGUAUUACUCUCAACAAGCAAGGGCGCACUAAAAUAGUACAUAUUCUAUGGGCCGUGGGCACCUCAACAAUAUAAUGAAAGAAGCACCAAACUCUCCUAAUCCAAUUCCGUAGCCCCGCUUGUUUAGUUGCUUGUUGAACCCUCAUUGCCUUAACCGACACUGAGCUUCAAGUCUUAUAUUAUUCCUAUUAACCCAGCUUUCUUUCCUGCUUACAAUAGCCUUCGUUUUUGGCUUAUGGUGGCUUAUUCUCUCAGUAAGUAGCAUUUCUUUCAACGUUACAAACAACAGUUCCGACGUUUCUAUCUAUGCUCAACCACUCGCACCCAGAUGAAUGUAAGCACCCGCUCAAACAAGCAAGAAGCAAGAGCCAUAAUUCCACUAAGUCAACUAAGUACUAUUGAGUCUCGCGUUCGGAUGCCCAUAUUAUUCUAUAUUGAAGUAAGCAAUGCAGUGAGUUUACGUUCUUCUCCGUUUAUGAGGUGCAUAUUCUUUAUAGAGAGCUAGCAGUAAUCCGUUUGAUUAAUCAAUUAUAUUAGAGUAGCAUUGAGUAAGCAUUCCAUUCUUUUCUUCAAUUCCACAAGUGCUAGGCCCCGGUAAGAAAGCAAUGCCAUGCUGUUUACUUUAUUCUAUCAUAUGCUCUAUCAAAUGCAAGAUAUAUAUGAUUGAUUUCAUUCCUGGCGAACUCUUAAGCGUUGCGGAUGAGCAACCCUUCAUAUAAAGGUCGAAAAGCCCGGGCUAUUUGAGUCUGUUUUUUUGCUAUUCUUUUGACUUGACUAUUCUGACAGGUGGCACUUCUGAACUUUGAAAUCGUUGACCGAGUAGAUAAUAGAAAGCCUAUAUGCGGUUAACUAUACAAAUCAUAGGCAUUUCUUUUGAGAUAGCUUUGAACCGGUGUCUUUUUAAGAACGCUUCGAAAGGGACUGUCCUUGGAGCACGGAUUCGUCCUCGCAUCCCUUAAUGUUACUCUUCAUCUAAUCUCCUCUUUCCCAUUUCGACCUCGAGACGGCUUGAAAAGCCUAAGCUGCUGCGUUGCUAGUUGAACACAGACUUCAGCUUUGAAUAAGCAUUCCUUUGAACGCAAUGAUAAGAUCUAGGGUAGAAAGUGGCUCCACAGUAGCUCAAAGAAAGUCUCGUCCCGACCUGGGGUUGGCUUGAGAAAGAGAGUAUCGCCGGUUGUUAACAAAGCAGCAUGCAAGGAAGCUAAGAUUCACCGGCUUGGUGGGAAUAAGGAAUAUGCAUUUUGGGGUGGGUCCACCAAACUAGCUUAUCUUCGAGUGCCCCUGCUACGAAAGAAUUGGAAGGCUCAAUUCCAAGGUUAGGUUUUGAACCACGAGUACCAGUAUCCGUCCCUGCUUGCUGUCGCAGGUGAUGAUGUAGUGGUAGGGUUAGUGAAUUCCAUUUCCUUCCAACCUGUCAGUGUGAAAUCAAGCUUCAGAGUCAAACGAAAUCUCUGUCAUAUGAAUCUUAUCUUAUGCUUGCCCGAGCGAGGGGAUAGUCACUUCUUAGUACUUGUGGUAGGACCGCCUCUAAUUAUACACGCUUCUUUUUACCUGUCUGCAGGUCGUAAACGCUAUAAAUGCAUUGAGUUUUCUCCUUGCCAUAUACUGUAUUCUUCUCUAGGUUUGAUUGUCUCUCUCUUUUACAUGAUAUAUUUGGAACCGGACUUAGACUUCUAGCCCGAAGAAAACGAACUCCAUUCAUUAAUGAAAGCAAGGUUACGAAGUAAGGCAGGAAAGCUGGUUAAGCAAUGUGAGAUAUAUGUCUGCCAACAAUUGUGCACUCUGAACAGGGCCUAACAUAGGGCUAGGCCGGACUCUUCCUGUGGAGCCACCGUUGCAGUAUCAAUUAGCUGUCCCUACUCUUCUCUUCCCAACCACCGAAUUUCCUGAUUUCACUGUUCACGGAGUUACCGGAAUGAUGGGAGUGCGCUUCGCUUAUUCCAUCUUUUUAUUGACUAGGAGGUAAGGGAGAUCCAUCGACUCAUGUACUAGAGAGGAAAGGUCAAAUCAGGGACGGGUUGUUCCACAGAGGGAACCUUUUCUAUUGGGUGUACCACUGAUCUCGUUCUAUAUUAUAUAGUUGAACCUCCUCGCGAGCCUAGAAAGAAUCAAGUGCAUUUUCCAGAGAUACGCUUAGAGCACUGAAAGCUAUUUACAUCAAAUCCUAAGUAACAUGCUCCGACUUGCCUAAGCCUUGGGAGUUCUACUUUUCUUAGUCAAAGGAGGGUUUAGAAGAGUGGGGCAAGGGUCACUAAUACAACUACAACGAGGGAAUCUGGGGUUGGCAAAAGAAAGGAAAGGGUCACUAUAGCGCUAUCACCAGCUCCAAGGCUUACAACUACAAGAGUGGAUUGAGCACGCUUACUAUAACUAUUCUACUACAAGAGUGGAUUGAGCACGCUUACUAUAACUAUUCUAUCCCCACCUUAUAUUCUAUAAUUCUUUACAAGAUCCCCCUUGGGACUUUAACCAAAUAGAACUUACUUAUUCCUACUCAUACAGACAGCGCCGGAGAAUUCUUUCAAAGAGCUCUAGCAUUAAAACAAGGGUCUUAUAUACUUGCUCCAGAACCAGAGAAUGAAAUAGAAUAUCCCCUUCACUGGUUCUCCUACAACACGAGGAUAGCUGGUAGGGUGAAAGGAAAGGGUACGGAAUAACCUUACUAGCUCUAGAUGGAAAAACACUAGAGCACCAGAACGAGGGUUUAAGGGUUCGUCAUCACUUAGCUUACUUGCAGGCAGGGUACAAAACACAAGAUGGAUACAAAGUCGGCUUACUGGGUACGAGGCUUACUCUAUUUAUCCCAGGGUCGAAUGAAGGAGGUUUCUCCGCCCAACAUAGAGGGAUGAACUCAAGGAAAUAAGUAUUCCAUCCUACAGAGCCAAUAUAAGAAGGGGAAGCGCUCUCUUGGUCAACCGCGGAUUGUGGACAACUAGGACAUCUAAAGCACUGAUAGCAAGCAUUCCUCCAGAGUUCUCUCCUCUAAGAAAUUGAUUCAAAGAGUUAGAUCCGCCUGCAAGCAGGUUUCUUUGCAGAUGUCGAUUUCCUGAUGUCCGGGAACCCAGCAUAAUGGGAGUCCUAAUAUCUCAAGUAGAUCGGAUCGCCGUUAUGUGAUCAUUUAGUCUCAGGUACCCGGAAUAUACCUCAUGACUUUGAAGGCUGCUUUCCACUGCUCCAUGCCUGGAUGACUUUGGUAUCUACCUAGUAAACCCACAGCAUAAACAAUGUGCGGACGUGUACACGUCUGGGCGUACAUAAAGCUUCCAACUGCAUAUGGAAUUCCCUUUCUCUUUCUAUAUAUCAUAUCGCUUCUCGGGCACUGCGAAGCCCUGAGCCUGUCUCCCUUCUGUACGGGUGCCAUACUUUGUUUGCAGUAUACCAGACCUCUAUAAUACUUUUUGGAUUGAGGCCUUCUGAGCGGAGAUAGUCCCGAGGAUACCUCUUUCCAUUUCUUUGUGAAUCUUCAAUGACAUAUGAUGCUCACCCAUAUCCUUCAUCUCGAAGUUCCUUAUGAGGCGUGCAACAGCCCCUGAUCACCGCUAGCAAGCAGUAUGUCGUUAACAUAUAGGACUAUAGAAGGAGAAACUCGCUCCCAUUGACCUUUCUUAGGUAUAUACACAGUUCUUUUUCCUUUGGUCAUUCUCACCUCAUUGAAUUGGAGAUACCACUGGCGGGAAGACUCGUCUGUAUUUCGACUUCCUUAACCAGCAUACUAACGCUGCCCUCCUGCGAGAAGCCAAAGGGUUGGUUGGUCUAUGUACACUUCUUCCAGUAUAUCCCCAUUGAGGAAAGCGGUCUUCACAUCCAUCUGGUGAAGUCGAGCCACCAACUGUAUGAUUAUCCUGAGUUAGUCCGUCCUUCUUAGAAACCGGAGAUAAGUUCCUCUCUUCGUAUUCUAUGUAGUCGUAGUCGAUGUCCUCUUUCAGAGUGAACCCCAUUCAUUAGGGAAGCCUUGCCUUGUAUCUCUCAAUCUUGCCUGAAGGAGCCAAGCCCCCUCCUGUCGAAAUGGUUUAAAUAGCGUAUGUGAACAGUCAAAACACCCU
rnacentral:lncRNA from 1 species